rnacentral:rRNA from 1 species
CCUACGGGAGGCAGCAGUGGGGAAUAUUGGACAAUGGGGGGAACCCUGAUCCAGCCAUGCCGCGUGUGUGAAGAAGGCCCUCGGGUGGUAAAGCACUUUCAGUGAGGAAGAACGCCUGGUGGUUAAUACCCAUCAGGAAAGACAUCACUCACAGAAGAAGCACCGGCUAACUCCGUGCCAGCAGCCGCGGUAAUACGGAGGGUGCGAGCGUUAAUCGGAAUUACUGGGCGUAAAGCGCGCGUAGGUGGCUUGAUAAGCCGGUUGUGAAAGCCCCGGGCUCAACCUGGGAACGGCAUCCGGAACUGUCAAGCUAGAGUGCAGGAGAGGAAGGUAGGAUUCCCGGUGUAGCGGUGAAAUGCGUAGAGAUCGGGAGGAAUACCAGUGGCGAAGGCGGCCUUCUGGACUGACACUGACACUGAGGUGCGAAAGCGUGGGUAGCAAACAGGAUUAGAUACCCCUGUAGUC